AGGCACCGCGGCCGCGCCGCCGCCGCGCUCCGCAGGCGCCCGCGCGCCGCCCCCGGCCCGCUGCCGCCGCCGCCAUGCGCCACAGCCUCGCGCAGCUGCUGGCGGCCUCCUCGGGCGGCGCGAGCCCCUCCGGCGCCGCGCGGCCGCUCGCCGGCGCCGGGCGGGACGGCGGGGAAGCGGAUCCGGGCCCCGCGCGGGCUAAGCAGCAGGCGCCGCCGCCACUGCCGCCGCGGCGGGGGGAGGACAAGGACGCGGAGGCGCCCGGCGGCCCGCUGGAGGUGUGGGAGCCGGAGGACUGGUUCCCGGGGCUGGAGCUGGGGGACCUGCUGGAGGCCGCGCGGCCGGACUGGGACCUGGACGCGGAGCUGAGCGGCUGCUUCUGCGGCGAGCCCGAGGCGCGGCCGGCGGCGGGCCGCGGCCGGCGGCGGAGCGGCGGGGCGGGCAGCCGGCUGAAGGCGGCGGCGGCGGCGCGGCUGAACCGGCUGAAGAAGAAGCAGUACGUGCUGGGGCUGGAGAGCCGCCUGCAGGGCCUGGCCGCCGAGAACCGGCAGCUGCGCGACCGCAACCGCGGCCUGAGCCGCCGCCUGCGGGAGCUGGAGCGGGAGAGCAGCUACCUGCGGGCCGUGCUGGCGAACCAGAGCGCCCUGGGGCAGCUGCUGAGCCGCCUGGCCGGGGGCCGCGCCGGCGGGCUGCAGCUGGGCACCAGCCUCUUCAGGGACGCGGGCGGCCCCCGCCGCCACCAGCAGCACCUCCCCCCGCAGCCCGGCGGCGAGAGCAGCGACCACGACUACGCCCUGCCCAGCUCCCGGCCCCCGCGGCUGGAGGAGGCGGCGAGGGAGUCGCCGGAGGAGUGGGCGGCCCCCGGCGGCAUCUGCCUCCACGUGGAGCGGGACCAGGUGUCGGUGGAGUUCUGCUCCGCGUGCGCCCGGCGGGCGGCGGCCUCCUCCAAAAUGUAGGGUCGAGUAGCCGGCUGCAAGUACUCGUGGGGGUCCCUCCCUCCGCGCCGCGGCGGAGGCAGCAGGCGAUGUUUCUCUUUUAGGUGCUUGCCCUGCCAGGCUCCGUUGUGUAGGGGUUAAAGAACAGUCGUUUUCCACCUCGCAACCUGGUAAGGAUCAAUAUAUUCCCAUAAUGCGGUAACAGAAAGCUUGCUUUGCUUAUUCCAGUCUCUUCUAGUGACUGGUUUAGGAAAUGAUUUUUCUGGUCCUUGGACCGUUUGGCCUACUCUGCCAAACUUCCUAGCUCUGGAUGAUAACUAAUACUGAAAAUUUUAAUCGCAUCAUUCUCGUUAGCUGUUUUCCUCUUUCUCUUUUCUUAAUAUGAGCAUAGUAGCUAAUAUAUCAGCUAUGUUUUGAAUUACAAAAUAAAUGCUGAUGCCAUUUGAAAUGGGAAUUUGCUAUUAAACUGUAUAUCUGAUGAGGCGAAAGGGGAAAACAUGGUAAUAAGUGCGAUGUGAUGUUUACAGUCUUUUAUCAUUGGGGAAUUUCCCAAAAGUAUAAGUAAAUUGCUUUUUAAAUGGAAAAAAAACGAGUUUGUGACCUACUGGUAUAAAAUACUAUGUCUAGUAUUAGGGAUGCACGGUAUCUUUAUAAAGUCCUUUUCUAGCUCAUUUUAAUUCCUGAUGCAGAAUUUUGCCUGAUUAAACAAAACCUGAAUACUGGUUACAUCUGUACAGUGGAAUCCUAAUGUAGAAGUGUCACUUUUUUGCAUGGAACUCUAAUGAGAAUUGCGGUUUGAAGAAUGCAGUGCAUCAAAGUAACUCAUUACUUUAGCUUACCAUAAGUAAUCUCUAUGCCCAUGCACACUGAAAUUCCUAUGUUACUUCAAAAUAGCUUUAAAUUUUAAAGAUAUUGCAUGUAUAUGCAUGUGCUUAAUUUUACUGUGGAGAUCGUAAAUUUGCCUCUUACAGUAUCCAGAAAUCUGUAACUUUUUUUAAUUAAGCACAACUUGGAGAUGAACAAAUAUGUAUCUUGAGAUUAAUGAUUUGAAAAAUACUCAAAAAUUAACUGAGAUAGGAGGAAAAAUAGUUUGAUAAACAGUAGUGUGUGUUUUCUUGUACUAGUCAGUGUUUUUCCCUAUCAUGAAAGAUGAGCGGGUUGUCUUUUUCAGUUGUAUUAUAAUGUUUAAGUUGUUUAUAUGUAUGUCAGUUGGGGGAAGAAGGACUGUGAAAAUAAUAAUAUGUAAAGUGAGGUUUCACAAAGAACAGAUUUAUUUAAAACAGUUUCAUUUAUUAACUUCACUUCUUUAAAAAAUAUUGCAGUUAAUGUUAUUGACGUCUUAUUUCUUAGAGCCUUAAAUUUUGUGUUUAAGGCUGAGUAGAAGGUGGAAGCAUUUUCUCCCCGUGUUUUGCUUUAUUGGUACUAGACCCUUAGAAGUGUACACCAAUAAAAGAUGAGUUUGAUUUUUCUUUGUGAAACAUCACUGUGUGAUAAAGUAUAUGUGUAUUUAGCAUCCUUGUUUUUCUUUAUGCUAAAGUGGAUUCAGCUGUGUUGGGGCAGAAGAGACGGGACCAGCUGCUGGCCACAUUUCCUGCUUUAUUUUAAAAGGUAGUAUAAGAAAUGAGAAUAAAGAGGUAACAGGGCUUUUGCUGUCUUUAUUUAAAUAAAAAAAAAAAAGUUGAAUGCUGGGAUCAUUUAAUGUCGUCCAAGAUGUUUUUUUGAAAGACAGUAUCCUAUCAAACAGGUUUUCCUCCAGUGUAUUCAGAAUUCCAUCUGUUCACAGAGUACAGUGCCAGCGCAGAAGAGUUGGUGGGAUGUAUGUUAUGUUACAGCUCUGUGGCAUCAACAAGACUGUUUAAACUUUCAGUCUUAAAUUGUGUAACCCUGCUGUAAUUGAUGGGUUGUACAAGUGCCACAUGAAUCUGAGUUAACCAUCAAGACAUGUACUAACUGAUAUGCAAAAAUGGAAAUAAUUGAGCUGGACUGAGCUUUGUUGAAUCUGCCUAGCUCAGACUUAGUAAACAUACUUUAUUUAUAAAGUUUAACAUGCCUAAUUGAAAGACAAACAGUAAUGUAACAGGUACGGGAUGUUACAAUGGCAUUUUUACCGUUACUUCAGAGUAGAUGUGUAUUUUAAGUUAACUUAAAUAUGCAUUCUUUCUUUUUGCAUCACUGCUAAGUGAUAGGAGUCAGACACUCGGUUCUGGUCUCUGUUAGGAACCUGCACAUCACUCUAGUCAUAAAACUAUCUAUGAGCUGUGUCUGACAGUAGCUGAUUUUAUGACAUGGAAAAUUAGAUAUACUGGUACAAGAAGGUCAAGUCCCAAGAAAGUAAGCGGCUGCAGGCAUUUCUAGUGCCUACUGAAUCAUAUUUAAACCAAAUAGAGGGGAGGAAGUUAUUUGAAAUGCUAACCAACUGUACUAUUUGUAUAGUGUAUUAUUAAUGUAGCUUUUUGAAGUGGAAGCCUUGAAAUGACAAAACUUAAUACUUGAAAAAAUAUUGUAAUUGUUUCUUUGUAAUUAUGUGCCAUCCAGAUAAGAAUACAAUAUCGUAAUAAAAUCAGACUUGUUGAUCUUUCA